rnacentral:rRNA from 1 species
GGGUUGUGAGGUUAAGCGACUAAGCGUACACGGUGGAUGCCCUGGCAGUCAGAGGCGAUGAAGGGCGUGCUAAUCUGCGAUAAGCGCCGGUAAGGUGAUAUGAACCGUUAUAACCGGCGAUACCCGAAUGGGGAAACCCAGUGUGACUCGUCACACUAUCAUUAACUGAAUCCAUAGGUUAAUGAGGCGAACCGGGGGAACUGAAACAUCUAAGUACCCCGAGGAAAAGAAAUCAACCGAGAUUCCCCCAGUAGCGGCGAGCGAACGGGGAGGAGCCCAGAGCCUGAAUCAGCAUGUGUGUUAGUGGAAGCGUCUGGAAAGGCGCGCGAUACAGGGUGACAGCCCCGUACACAAAAGCGCAUGUGCUGUGAGCUCGAUGAGUAGGGCGGGACACGUGGUAUCCUGUCUGAAUAUGGGGGGACCAUCCUCCAAGGCUAAAUACUCCUGACUGACCGAUAGUGAACCAGUACCGUGAGGGAAAGGCGAAAAGAACCCCGGCGAGGGGAGUGAAAAAGAACCUGAAACCGUGUACGUACAAGCAGUGGGAGCCCCACCACCAAAGCAUUCUCUGGUGUUGAAGGCCCUGCAAAGCAGCAUCGCGGUGGCGGAGUGUCGUUUGCGACGCCCAACACACAAAACAAGCGGUGAGUGCUUUGGGGUGGGGUGACUGCGUACCUUUUGUAUAAUGGGUCAGCGACUUAUAUUCUGUAGCAAGGUUAACCGAAUAGGGGAGCCGGAGGGAAACCGAGUCUUAACCGGGCGUUAAGUUGCAGGGUAUAGACCCGAAACCCGGUGAUCUAGCCAUGGGCAGGUUGAAGGUUGGGUAACACUAACUGGAGGACCGAACCGACUAAUGUUGAAAAAUUAGCGGAUGACCUGUGGCUGGGGGUGAAAGGCCAAUCAAACCGGGAGAUAGCUGGUUCUCCCCGAAAGCUAUUUAGGUAGCGCCUCGUGAAUUCAUCUCCGGGGGUAGAGCACUGUUUCGGCUAGGGGGCCAUCCCGGCUUACCAACCCGAUGCAAACUGCGAAUACCGGAGAAUGUUAUCACGGGAGACACACGGCGGGUGCUAACGUCCGUCGUGAAGAGGGAAACAACCCAGACCGCCAGCUAAGGUCCCAAAGUCAUGGUUAAGUGGGAAACGAUGUGGGAAGGCCCAGACAGCCAGGAUGUUGGCUUAGAAGCAGCCAUCAUUUAAAGAAAGCGUAAUAGCUCACUGGUCGAGUCGGCCUGCGCGGAAGAUGUAACGGGGCUAAACCAUGCACCGAAGCUGCGGCAGCGAACGUAUCACUUAAAGCGAUUCAGCGGGUUACGAUUGACGGAGCGAAGCGACGUCAAAGCGUAUACAAAGUCGAGUCGGUUUAAGAAUACGUUCGUUGGGUAGGGGAGCGUUCUGUAAGCCUGUGAAGGUGGCCUGUGAGGGUUGCUGGAGGUAUCAGAAGUGCGAAUGCUGACAUAAGUAACGAUAAAGCGGGUGAAAAGCCCGCUCGCCGGAAGACCAAGGGUUCCUGUCCAACGUUAAUCGGGGCAGGGUGAGUCGACCCCUAAGGCGAGGCCGAAAGGCGUAGUCGAUGGGAAACGGGUUAAUAUUCCCGUACUUGGUGUUACUGCGAAGGGGGGACGGAGAAGGCUAUGUUGGCCGGGCGACGGUUGUCCCGGUUUAAGCGUGUAGGUGUGUGUUCCAGGUAAAUCCGGUUCACUUUAACACUGAGGCGUGACGACGAGGCACUACGGUGCUGAAGCAACAAAUGCCCUGCUUCCAGGAAAAGCCUCUAAGCAUCAGGUAACAUCAAAUCGUACCCCAAACCGACACAGGUGGUCAGGUAGAGAAUACCAAGGCGCUUGAGAGAACUCGGGUGAAGGAACUAGGCAAAAUGGUGCCGUAACUUCGGGAGAAGGCACGCUGACACGUAGGUGAAGUGAUUUACUCAUGGAGCUGAAGUCAGUCGAAGAUACCAGCUGGCUGCAACUGUUUAUUAAAAACACAGCACUGUGCAAACACGAAAGUGGACGUAUACGGUGUGACGCCUGCCCGGUGCCGGAAGGUUAAUUGAUGGGGUCAGCGCAAGCGAAGCUCCUGAUCGAAGCCCCGGUAAACGGCGGCCGUAACUAUAACGGUCCUAAGGUAGCGAAAUUCCUUGUCGGGUAAGUUCCGACCUGCACGAAUGGCGUAAUGAUGGCCAGGCUGUCUCCACCCGAGACUCAGUGAAAUUGAACUCGCUGUGAAGAUGCAGUGUACCCGCGGCAAGACGGAAAGACCCCGUGAACCUUUACUAUAGCUUGACACUGAACAUUGAGCCUUGAUGUGUAGGAUAGGUGGGAGGCUUUGAAGUGUGGACGCCAGUCUGCAUGGAGCCGACCUUGAAAUACCACCCUUUAAUGUUUGAUGUUCUAACGUGGACCCGUUACCCGGGUUGCGGACAGUGUCUGGUGGGUAGUUUGACUGGGGCGGUCUCCUCCUAAAGAGUAACGGAGGAGCACGAAGGUUGGCUAAUCCUGGUCGGACAUCAGGAGGUUAGUGCAAUGGCAUAAGCCAGCUUGACUGCGAGCGUGACGGCGCGAGCAGGUGCGAAAGCAGGUCAUAGUGAUCCGGUGGUUCUGAAUGGAAGGGCCAUCGCUCAACGGAUAAAAGGUACUCCGGGGAUAACAGGCUGAUACCGCCCAAGAGUUCAUAUCGACGGCGGUGUUUGGCACCUCGAUGUCGGCUCAUCACAUCCUGGGGCUGAAGUAGGUCCCAAGGGUAUGGCUGUUCGCCAUUUAAAGUGGUACGCGAGCUGGGUUUAGAACGUCGUGAGACAGUUCGGUCCCUAUCUGCCGUGGGCGCUGGAGAACUGAGGGGGGCUGCUCCUAGUACGAGAGGACCGGAGUGGACGCAUCACUGGUGUUCGGGUUGUCAUGCCAAUGGCACUGCCCGGUAGCUAAAUGCGGAAGAGAUAAGUGCUGAAAGCAUCUAAGCACGAAACUUGCCCCGAGAUGAGUUCUCCCUGAGACUUAGAGUCUCCUGAAGGAACGUUGAAGACGACGACGUUGAUAGGCCGGGUGUGUAAGCGCAGCGAUGCGUUGAGCUAACCGGUACUAAUGAACCGUGAGGCUUAACCUUACAACGCCGAAG